rnacentral:rRNA from 1 species
UACGAACCGUGCGAACGUUAUUCGGAAUCACUGGGCUUAAAGCGCGUGUAGGCGGAUGGGUACGUCGGUCGUUGAAAGCCCCCGGCUCAACCGGGGAAUGGGCGCCGAAACGACCCGUCUGGAGGGACGUAGGGGGACCUGGAACUUCCGGUGGAGCGGUGAAAUGCGUUGAGAUCGGAAGGAACGCCCGUGGCGAAAGCGAGGUCCUGGACGUCUACUGACGCUGAGACGCGAAAGCUAGGGGAGCGAACGGG